AUACUUACCUGACAGGGGAGAUACUAUAAUCAAGAAGGUGGCUCACCCAGAACGAGGCUGAGCCAUUGCAUUCCAGUUGUACUGACCCCUGCGACAGUAAGUGGGAGUUUAUUCCACUAGUACUUGAGGUACUGAUCGGGCUUUGACCAUUG
ensembl:snRNA U1 U1 spliceosomal RNA